GCUACGGGUGGCAGCAGUGAGGAAUAUUGGUCAAUGGACGCAAGUCUGAACCAGCCAUGCCGCGUGCAGGAAGACGGCUCUAUGCGUUGUAAACUGCUUUUGUACGAGGGUAAACGCAGAUACGCGUAUCUGUCUGAAAGUAUCGUACGAAUAAGGAUCGGCUAACUCCGUGCCAGCAGCCGCGGUAAUACGGAGGAUUCAAGAGUUAUCCGGAUUUCUUUGGUUUAAAGUGUGCUGAGGCGGUCGGUUGAGUGCGAGGUGAAAUCCCGAGGCUCAACUUGGGAAUUGCCUCUGAUACUGUUCGGCUAGAGAGUAGUUGCGGUAGGCGGAAUGUAUGGUGUAGCGGUGAAAUGCUUAGAGAUCAUACAGAACACCGAUUGCGAAGGCAGCUUACCAAGCUACUUCUGACGUUGAGGCACGAAAGCGUGGGGAGCAAACAGGAUUAGAUACCCCAGUAGUC
rnacentral:rRNA from 1 species